UUUACAACUGUCUCAACUUUAUUCCUAAAAAUGCUCCAGAAUGCCAGUUUUCCGUAUUUGGUGUGCUGAUCGCAUCAUAAGGAAAUCGGUUGUGUCAGUAGCAGAAAUUGAAGAACUAAAGAAAAAAAGCAACACAAAAACUCGGUUUGGAGUUGGUAGGACCUACGAAGUUAGUUCUAGAGAAAUGUGGUACAGAAGUGGACGACGAUGAGGUGUUGGAAGAAAUUGCUGAUGAAGUCUUACUAUUGUUGGCUGAUGGAGAAACUUAUACACCAUCUGUAGCUCAGCAAAUACCUGACUCUACUCGAAGUUUGGUAACAUGUACUACAGGCGAUGUACUUCAACCCAGCAGGAGUGCAAGUGACAACGAAAAGGCAAGCACAAGUUCAAGUGAGACAGAGGCAUAUGCCAGUCACAAAUCAUGUAACACAUUAUCAUUGCCUCUGCCAGAACUCUCACGGGCAACCCGAGAUGACUUACAACAGGGAGAUAAAUCAAGACGGGUCUGGUUGCAGCUGAUAGAAGAAUCCAAGAACUACUACAUGAAGUAUUGCCCUCUGCUUGAUGAAAACCCUUAAGCUACGGUUACACUAGCCACUGCUACCCCUGGGCCCAGCCUUGGGCCUGGGACGGAGGCCAGCCUUAUGCCUGGGUUUACAAGGCAAGUGGUUACACACAGCCCAGCCCCAGUCCUGGGCACUCUUGAUCUUGAUUUUGAUACUUGGUGCGCCGAUCUAAACAAAGCGCAUCAGACCUCAAGAUGGCUUCUCUAGGAGACUAUAUAUGGCCUCUUGUGGCCACGCAAUGGACUUUUCAACAGAAGCCAUGUUUAAAACCUUGCCCUGCAGCGUGUGUUUGUUUACAUCUGAGGAUUUCCCAGGUCAAGCGAGGGAUGAUGUUUUCUAAUAAUUUGUGUGCAGCUAAUUAUAACUAAUCAUGCAUGAAAAUAAAUAAAUUGCAUAUAUAGUGAUAUAAUAUCUAGAUAUUUUAUUAUUUAGGAAAAUUUGGGUUUAGUUGUUUGCGUGAAUAAUAUAGUCUCUUAGUUCCUAGUGGUGUGCCCAGG